AUACAUUCAUUGAUUGGAAGUAGUAGGAGCAACCGUUUUUUAGAGAGCUGCUGGCUGGUGCAAGGCAGUAUUCGGCACUCUGAACUCGUCCAGGAGGAUUCAUGCUGAAGCCGAGUAGGCAUGAACGGCAGCUACCGUUACAGUAUAAGUGGACCUUUUUGGUCAAUGAGAGUGGUACCGCGGAAAUAACUUCGCCUCUUUA
rnacentral:ncRNA from 1 species